rnacentral:rRNA from 1 species
UACAGAGGUGCUCAAGCGUUUGUUCGGAUUCAUUGGGCGUAAAGGGUGCGUAGGUGGCAUGGUAAGUCGGAUGUGAAAUCCCGGGGCUCAACCCCGGAACUGCAUUCGAUACUGCUGCGCUAGAGUACUGGAGAGGAGAUUGGAAUUUACGGUGUAGCAGUGAAAUGCGUAGAUAUCGUAAGGAAGACCAGUGGCGAAGGCGGAUCUCUGGACAGUUACUGACACUGAGCACGAAGGCCAGGGGAGCAAACGGG